rnacentral:lncRNA from 1 species
AAACGUGGAGCGACAUGAGGCAGAGUGGGAAAAGAAAAAACAAGAAGAUGAAGGGUGAAAGAGAGCAAGAAUUCGGCAGCAAUGAAGAGAAAAAUGGUAAGAGGGUGGAGGAAUUUUGGGGAAAGUAAAAAAAAGGAAAAAAAUGAACAAAAUAUGAUAACCACCCCAAUCCCUUAUUUCUCUCCAUCAAACUCCCCACUAAAUUCACUACUCAGAUUUUUAGUCCAUCUCAAACUCUCUUAGACGCACGAACAAAAAUAAUACCCACGCCAAGAUUCGAACACAGGACCUCCUUCACACCAACACUCCACUCAUCCACC